rnacentral:lncRNA from 1 species
AAGGUCAGCAAUAGUUCAGCUCUCAAGCAUCUUGGAAAGCCCUUGGGAAGAGUGAAUGCCAAGCAUAGACCCUCCAGUGCUUUGUGGGUACAUUGGCUUCAGAGACAAAAGGCAGGCACAAAUCUCUCCUCAGCUGCCAGGGGCUGGUGUUGAAAAGACACAGUCAUUUUGCCUCUGAGUUUUCGGCUCACACAAGUCUUCCUGUUAGCAGAAAGCCUCAUCGAGAGAACUGGCGAGUUUUCUCCACCAACCAACUUCCUUAGGAAAGACCUCUUGUGUGGAGACAUCAGAUGUGACACACAGUAUGCUGGUGUAUGUAUCCUGGCUGUGCUCUGAGUGACUGAGGAAUGUGCAGCAGCUACUGGAAUGCUCAG